UACGUAGGGUGCGAGCGUUAAUCGGAAUUACUGGGCGUAAAGCGUGCGCAGGCGGUUUUGUAAGCCAGGUGUGAAAUCCCCGGGCUCAACCUGGGAAUGGCAUUUGGGACUGCAAGGCUGGAGUGCGGCAGAGGAGACUGGAAUUCCUGGUGUAGCAGUGAAAUGCGUAGAUAUCAGGAGGAACACCGAUGGCGAAGGCAGGUCUCUGGGCAUUAACUGACGCUGAGGAGCGAAAGCAUGGGGGAGCAACAGG
rnacentral:rRNA from 1 species